rnacentral:rRNA from 1 species
UACGGGGGAGCAAGCGUUGUUCGGAUUUACUGGGCGUAAAGGGCGCGUAGGCGGUCGUGACAAGUCACUUGUGAAAUCUCCGGGCUUAACUCGGAACGGUCAAGUGAUACUGUCGGACUAGAGUACAGAAGGGGCAACUGGAAUUCUCGGUGUAGCGGUGAAAAUGCGUAGAUAUCGAGAGGAACACCUGCGGCGAAGGCGGGUUGCUGGGCUGAUACUGACGUGAGGCGCGAAAGCCAGGGGAGCGAAACGGGG